UACGUAGGCAGCAAGCGUUGUUCGGAGUUACUGGGCGUAAAGGGUGCGUAGGCGGCUUUUUAAGUUUGGUGUGAAAUCUCCCGGCUCAACUGGGAGGGUGCGCCGAAUACUGAGAGGCUAGAGUGUGGGAGAGGAAAGUGGAAUUCCUAGUGUAGCGGUGAAAUGCGUAGAUAUCAGGAGGAACACCGGUGGUGUAAACGGCUUUCUGGACCAUAACUGACGCUGAGGCACGAAAGCGUGGGUAGCAAACAGG
rnacentral:rRNA from 1 species